AUUGAACGCUGGCGGCAGGCCUAACACAUGCAAGUCGAGCGGAUGAAGGGAGCUUGCUCCUGGAUUCAGCGGCGGACGGGUGAGUAAUGCCUAGGAAUCUGCCUGGUAGUGGGGGAUAACGUCCGGAAACGGGCGCUAAUACCGCAUACGUCCUGAGGGUGAAAGUGGGGGAUCUUCGGACCUCACGCUAUCAGAUGAGCCUAGGUCGGAUUAGCUAGUUGGUGGGGUAAAGGCCUACCAAGGCGACGAUCCGUAACUGGUCUGAGAGGAUGAUCAGUCACACUGGAACUGAGACACGGUCCAGACUCCUACGGGAGGCAGCAGUGGGGAAUAUUGGGCAAUGGGCGAAAGCCUGAUCCAGCCAUGCCGCGUGUGUGAAGAAGGUCUUCGGAUUGUAAAGCACUUUAAGUUGGGAGGAAGGGCAGUAAGUUAAAACCUUGCUGUUUUGACGGUACCAACAGAAUAAGCACCGGCUAACUACGUG
rnacentral:rRNA from 1 species